UACGGAGGGUGCGAGCGUUGUCCGGAAUCACUGGGCGUAAAGGGCGCGUAGGCGGCCUGAUAAGUAGGGGGUGAAAUCCUGCGGCUUAACCGCAGGGCUGCCUUCUAAACUGUCAGGCUGGAGCACAGUAGAGGCAGGUGGAAUUCCCGGUGUAGCGGUGGAAUGCGUAGAGAUCGGGAGGAACACCAGAGGCGAAGGCGGCGACCUGGAUAGGUACUGACACUCAACUACGAAAGCGUGGGGAGCAAACAGG
rnacentral:rRNA from 1 species